GCGGCCGUAGUCCAGCCUGGUAGGACGUCAGAUUGCCAAUCUGGAGACCCGGGCGAUCCAAUAAGAGAUGGCUUGA
rnacentral:tRNA from 1 species